CGCGGCCUAUCAGCUUGUUGGUGAGGUAACGGCUCACCAAGGCAUCGACGGGUAGCUGGUCUGAGAGGACGAUCAGCCACACUGGGACUGAGACACGGCCCAGACUCCUGCGGGAGGCAGCAGUGGGGAAUCUUGCGCAAUGGGCGAAAGCCUGACGCAGCAACGCCGCGUGGGGGAUGAAGGCUCUCGGGUUGUAAACCCCUUUCAGCAGGGACGAAAUUGACGGUACCUGCAGAAGAAGCCCCGGCCAACUACGUGCCAGCAGCCGCGGUGACACGUAGGGGGCGAGCGUUGUCCGGAAUUAUUGGGCGUAAAGAGCUCGUAGGCGGUUUAGUAAGUCAGAUGUGAAAGGUUGGGGCUCAACCCUAAGACUGCAUCCGAUACUGCUAUGACUAGAGUCCGGUAGAGGAGUGUGGAAUUCCUGGUGUAGCGGUGAAAUGCGCAGAUAUCAGGAGGAACACCGACGGCGAAGGCAGCACUCUGGGCCGGUACUGACGCUCAGGAGCGAAAGCGUGGGUAGCGAACAGGAUUAGAUACCCUGGUAGUCCACGCCGUAAACGUUGGGCACUAGGUGUGGGGCCUUCUUAACGGGUUCCGUGCCGUAGCUAACGCAUUAAGUGCCCCGCCUGGGGAGUACGG
rnacentral:rRNA from 1 species